rnacentral:lncRNA from 1 species
GACUCCCUUCCUUCUCACCCUACAACAACGUACAUGUAGAUAGACUUCACACCGUCAGCUACUCUGCUCAUGCUAAUCUGGUAAUCCAAAGAACAGUUCGUAAGGAAACAAAGAUGAAUCGCUUUGAGAGUGGAAGGCAACAGGAGAGUACGCAAGGAAAGGUGACUUGUUUCAUUCACGGUAUGUGCUCAAGUAGCUGAUAGUUAACGCAUCAUUGACGUCAGGAAGCUAGUGCUUCUACGGUCACACACUAGUGCCUCAAAGGACUGAAGCAGCUUGCUGCGGAGUGAGUGCGAUCUCAAGGGGAUGCUUGAGUCAGAUAGCGCUGUGUUGAUAUCACAACUAACCACGACUAAAGAGAGGACAGAUCCUAAAACAUGUAAGGUUGCUUCCGGACGUGUAAAGUUCUGAAAGAUUAGGAUAGAGUGCGGUGGUGUAGUAUAGUGCUCAUGGCAUGGGUUAGCUAGCCCAAUUAGCAAAACAAACAGUACUACACUGUUCUGUAAGCGAGACACAGGGCUACCUCCUCCUUGUGUAGGUGAGCUCAUUUAUAUCUCUUAUAAAGAUAAACCCCGCUAGCAACUUCUCUUGCCAUACAAAGUGUUCACAUCAGCAUCUACUACAACAUCUCAUUAGCACAUAGCAUAUUUAAUUAUCUCGUCAUGCAAAGUGUCCACAUCAGCAUCCACUA